rnacentral:tRNA from 1 species
GCGGCGCGGGCGGCCUCGGCCCGGCCCUUGUCGUUCAGGUCGACGUCGACCCAGCCGGAGAACAGGUUCCUGGCGUUCCAUUCGCUCUCGCCGUG